rnacentral:rRNA from 1 species
CAUGUCCUUUUGAUUUUAAUUUAAGGUCUGGUCUGCUCAAUGAAAGUUUAAAUUGCCGCAGUAUUUUGACUGUGCAAAGGUAGCAUAAUAAUUAGUUUCUUGAUUAGAAACUGGAAUGAAUGAUUGGACGAGAAAGUGGCUGUCUCUUGGGGAUGGUUUAUUGAAUUUUAUUUUUAAGUUAAAAAGCUUAAAUUUUUAUAAAAGACGAGAAGACCCUAUAGAGUUUAAUAUUUAUUAAUUUAUUUGAUUUUGGUAAGUUUAUUGGAUAGUAAGUAUUUAGUUGGGGUGACUUGGAGAUUUAAUUAAUUCUUUAAUUUUUUAAUUGUUGAUAAAUAAUUUAAAAAUCUAGUUUUCUAAAUUUAAAAUUAAUUACCUUAGGGAUAACAGCGUAAUUUUUCUUUAAAGUUCUUAUUAAAAGAAGAUUUUGCGACCUCGAUGUUGGAUUAAAAUUAAUUUUUGGUGCAGUAACUAAAAAAUUAGGUCUGUUCGACCUUUAAAAUUUUACAUGAUCUGAGUUUAAACCGGUGUAAGCCAGGUUGGAUUCUAUCUUUAGUUUGAUUAUAUAUUUUAGUACGAAAGGACCAAAUAUAUAUUAGAUUUAAUUG